rnacentral:rRNA from 1 species
UGGCGGACGGGUGAGUAACGCGUGGGUAACCUGCCUUGUACUGGGGGACAACAGUUGGAAACGACUGCUAAUACCGCAUAAGCGCACAGCUUCGCAUGAAGCAGUGUGAAAAACUCCGGUGGUACAAGAUGGACCCGCGUCUGAUUAGCUGGUUGGUGAGGUAACGGCCCACCAAGGCAACGAUCAGUAGCCGGCCUGAGAGGGUGAACGGCCACAUUGGGACUGAGACACGGCCCAAACUCCUACGGGAGGCAGCAUG